CCUACGGGUGGCAGCAGUGGGGAAUAUUGGACAAUGGGGGCAACCCUGAUCCAGCCAUGCCGCGUGUGUGAAGAAGGCCCUCGGGUUGUAAAGCACUUUCAGUGAGGAAGAACGCCUGGUGGUUAAUACCCAUCAGGAAAGACAUCACUCACAGAAGAAGCACCGGCUAACUCCGUGCCAGCAGCCGCGGUAAUACGGAGGGUGCGAGCGUUAAUCGGAAUUACUGGGCGUAAAGCGCGCGUAGGUGGCUUGAUAAGCCGGUUGUGAAAGCCCCGGGCUCAACCUGGGAACGGCAUCCGGAACUGCCAAGCUAGAGUGCAGGAGAGGAAGGUAGAAUUCCCGGUGUAGCGGUGAAAUGCGUAGAGAUCGGGAGGAAUACCAGUGGCGAAGGCGGCCUUCUGGACUGACACUGACACUGAGGUGCGAAAGCGUGGGUAGCAAACAGGAUUAGAUACCCUGGUAGUC
rnacentral:rRNA from 1 species